AUUGAACGCUGGCGGCAGGCCUAACACAUGCAAGUCGAGCGGGGUUUUCGGACCUAGCGGCGGACGGGUGAGUAAUGCGUAGGAAGCUACCCGAUAGAGGGGGAUACCAGUUGGAAACGACUGUUAAUACCGCAUAAUGUCUACGGACCAAAGUGUGGGACCUUCGGGCCACAUGCUAUCGGAUGCGCCUACGUGGGAUUAGCUAGUUGGUGAGGUAAUGGCUCACCAAGGCGACGAUCCCUAGCUGGUUUGAGAGGAUGAUCAGCCACACUGGAACUGAGACACGGUCCAGACUCCUACGGGAGGCAGCAGUGGGGAAUAUUGGACAAUGGGCGCAAGCCUGAUCCAGCCAUGCCGCGUGUGUGAAGAAGGCCUUCGGGUUGUAAAGCUCUUUCAGUAGGGAGGAAGCGUUGUGUGUUAAUAGUACACAGCGUUGACGUUACCUACAGAAGAAGCACCGGCUAACUCUGUGCCAGCCGCCGCAGUAAGAC
rnacentral:rRNA from 1 species